rnacentral:rRNA from 1 species
UCGAGUUGAUCCUGCUCGAGGUCACUGCUAUUGGGGUUUGAUUAAGACAUGCAUGUCUCGGAUACGAUUAAGGUCCGGGCGGCCAGCUCAGUAACACGUGGACAAUCUGACUUAGGGAGGGGGAUAACCUCGGGAAACUGAGGACAAUACCCCGUAGGCGGCAAGCACUGGAAUGUCUGCCACCGAUAUGUGAAGGCCUGUAUUCGGCUCAACGCCCUAAGAGGAGUCUGCGGCGGAUUAGCCUGACGGUAGGGUAACGGCCUACCGUAGCUACGAUCUGUACCGGCAUUGGGAGAUGGAGCCGGGAGAUGGACACUGAGACAAAGGUCCAGGUUCUACGGAGCGCAGCAGUCGCGAAACCUUCGCAAUGUGCGCAAGCAUGACGAGGGAACCCCAAGUGAGCACGUACAACGUGCUCUUUUACGGAGUGUAAAUAGCUCCGGGAAUAAGGGCUGGGUAAGACUGGUGCCAGCCUCCGCGGUAACACCAGCAGCUCAAGUGGUGAUCGCGUUUACUGGGUUUAAAGGGUGCGUAGUCGGUUCGGCAAGUUUUCUGUGAAAUCCUGCGGCUUAACCGUGGGGAUUGCAGAAAAUACUACCGGGCUAGAGGCCGGGGUAGGUGUGGGGUAUUCUUGGGGUAGCGGUGAAAUGCUAUAAUCCUUGGAGGACCACCCGUAGCGAAGGCGCCACACUGGAACGGGCCUGACGAUGAGGCACGAGAGCUAGGGGAGCAAACAGGAUUAGAUACCCUGGUAGUCCUAGCCGUAAACGAUGUGGGUUUAGUGUCCCCUAAACCUCGUGUUUGGGGGGUGCUGAAGGGAAACCGUUAAACCCACCACCUGGGGAGUACGGUCGCAAGGCUGAAACUUAAAGGAAUUGGCGGGGGAACACCACAAGGGGUGGAUGCUGCGGUUCAAUUGGAUACAACGCCGGGAAACUUACCAGGUGCGACGGCAGGAUGAAGGCCAGGCUGAAGACCUUGCCGAACGAGCCGAGAGGUAGUGCAUGGCCGUCGUCAGCUCGUACCGUGAGGCGUACGGUUAAGUCCGUUAACGAGCGAGACCCGUGCUCCCAUUUGCAACCUUCGGGGAAACCUGAGGGGCACUAUGGGAGGACUGCAGGCGAUGAGUCUGAGGAAGGCGCGGGCAACGGUAGGUCCGUAUGCUCCGAAUCACCUGGGCUACACGCGGCAUACAAUGGCGCAUACAAUGGGUUGCAACGCCGUAAGGUGGAGCUAAUCCCCUAAAAUGCGUCUCAGUACAGAUUGAGGGUUGAAACUCACCCUCAUGAAGGUGAAAUCCCUAGUAAUCGCUGUUUACCAUACAGCGGUGAAUAUGUCCCUGUUCCUUGCACACACCGCCCGUCAAACCAAUCGAGUGGAUUUGAGGUGAGGCAUUCUCUUAACCGGGAGUGUCGAAUCUCAGGUCCGCGAGAGGGGUUAAGUCGUAACAAGGUA